GUGAGCAAGUACAGGAUGGACCCGCGUCUGAUUAGUUAGUUGGUAAGGUAACGGCUUACCAAGGCGACGAUCAGUAGCCGACCUGAGAGGGUGAUCGGCCACAUUGGAACUGAGACACGGUCCAAACUCCUACGGGAGGCAGCAGUGGGGAAUAUUGCACAAUGGGCGAAAGCCUGAUGCAGCAACGCCGCGUGAGUGAUGAAGGCCUUCGGGUCGUAAAACUCUGUCCUCAAGGAAGAUAAUGACGGUACUUGAGGAGGAAGCCCCGGCUAACUACGUGCCAGCAGCCGCGGUAAUACGUAGGGGGCUAGCGUUAUCCGGAUUUACUGGGCGUAAAGGGUGCGUAGGCGGUCUUUCAAGUCAGGAGUGAAAGGCUACGGCUCAACCGUAGUAAGCUCUUGAAACUGGGAGACUUGAGUGCAGGAGAGGAGAGUGGAAUUCCUAGUGUAGCGGUGAAAUGCGUAGAUAUUAGGAGGAACACCAGUUGCGAAGGCGGCUCUCUGGACUGUAACUGACGCUGAGGCACGAAAGCGUGGGGAGCAAACAGGAUUAGAUACCCUG
rnacentral:rRNA from 1 species